rnacentral:lncRNA from 1 species
AAAACAUUGUCUUCCUUUAGUGCCUUUCCUUGCUUGUUUGUGUGAAUGUUCAUUGAUUCUUGGGAACUUUUUUAGUGGGGUUGAGGGCUGACUUUAGCAUCACUUUUGAGUGUGUUAAGCUGUCCGCACGCGACUUCAAAUAGGCUUGUGACAAGAAGCAAUUAUCAAGUCCAGCCCUUCUUCUUCCAGGCACUAGUUUGUCUAUCGCACUGAGGUAUGUAAGACUACUACUACUUUGUAAUUCUUUGGGAUUCAUUUUCUCCAAUUCAAGUUGUUACAAGAUAGAUUAGGAUUGAAUAAAUUCUCAUAGUCCUAUUUUCCUAAAGGGUUCUUGAGAUGCCUUUGGGUAAACUCCUUAUCACCCAAUUUCUCCUAAAUAUGAUCUCAAUCCUCAUAUAAAUUAUAAAUCCCAGAUUGUUUCUCUACGAUUUUGUCAUGUAUUUUGUAUUUUUUGAUUUAUACUUUAUUUCUUGGUUUGCCGAAAAGAUUAGUACUCCAUUUGUUCUUCAAGGACUUUGUCUGUGUUGGGAAAUCUUAUGACUUAUGAAAUUCAUGUAUUUUGUAAAAUUCUUGAACUUUGAUAUUUAUUGAUUGAAUGAUCUAAUUAUUUUUCAUGAUUACUGGAGUCUCUUCACUAUUGGUCAUGCUAACUAAAAAGUACCCUUUUGAAGUUACUCCAUAAUUCCCAUCAUACUAUUACACCUUUAACUAUGCUAAAAUGACUUGAAUCUUUCAAAAUCUCCAAAAUUUUCAUUAUGCUAUGAAAUCUAUUUUUUUUUUAACUGACAUGAUAAUUUGGUCUGCAGGACUUCUUAACAGUAUGAAAUUUCUUCAAGAAUAUCCUCAUGGGAUCAUAUAUAAUCUCCAUAAUCUUAAGCUAUGUUAAAAGUGGCAUGAACACAUCCAGAAUCUCAUUCUUCAUAAAGUUACAAGAAUCUAGAUCUUAUGAACCAUGACAACAUGUAUUAUAAUACUACUUUCCCUAAGUCUCUAAUAACAUUAAUGAACGAUGUAACUUAUCAAGUAUGAGCCUAAAAUGGCUAAUUCAUAAUUCAUGAGCCUAAAGUGGCUAACUCGAGACAUGUGCCUAAAGCAGUUAACUUAUGGAUACUAGUCAAGAAAAUUUAAAAACAGAACUUUAUGAGCCUAAUAAGGCUAACCUUUGAACAUGAAUUCAUAAAGAUAACAUCAUGAGCAUAAGGGAGUUAGUUAGCUGACCGUGAAGG